UAAAACCUACGGGACGCAGCAGUAGGGAAUCUUCCACAAUGGGCGAAAGCCUGAUGGAGCAACGCCGCGUGGGUGAAGAAGGUCUUCGGAUCGUAAAACCCUGUUGUUAGAGAAGAAAGUGCGUGAGAGUAACUGUUCACGUUUCGACGGUAUCUAACCAGAAAGCCACGGCUAACUACGUGCCAGCAGCCGCGGUAAUACGUAGGUGGCAAGCGUUAUCCGGCUUUAUUGGGCGUAAAGAGAACGCAGGCGGUCUUUUAAGUCUGAUGUGAAAGCCUUCGGCUUAACCGGAGUCAUGCAUUUGG
rnacentral:rRNA from 1 species